UUUUGGCCACGUCAUCCGAUGACACACGUGUGAAAGGUAUAGAGGCUGUCGGGUUAUCUCGAUAUACCAAACUGAAGGGAUUUAUCAAAAUGGUCGGUAGAUGACCUUAUACAUUGCAGUGAAUGUCGUGAAAAUCAUGCAGGAUAAAUGACUGAAUCGGAAGACAGAACGGACUUGGACUCCUGCUCCGCCGAGGAUAGACUGGUUUACACGGCGGCGGGCCUUAUUGUGUGUGGCAUCGUCUGUAUGGUGGUGGGCUAUGUCGUCCCCAGGGAGUACACCUUCAAUCCUUACGCCCGGGCCCGCGACAUGGAGGCGAUAGAGGUCUACUACGCCGACCUCUCUCAGAAACUCGACCUGACUAUAGUGAUAGGGAUGGCCUUUAUUUCCAUUGGAGGCAUGAUUUUGUCUUCUUUGAUUACAUACAUAAGUUGUUGUGAACCCCAAAUCAGUGCUCCGGUACUAACGGAGACGAGCGUCAUAAGUCCGUCUGGGGGGAGAACCUACGGGACUAGUGGCGGUAACAGUAGCGGCGAACAUCCCCCCACACGUGACAGUAUAGCAUUAUGUGAGAGGUGAAGAAAAGACUGGAUUUGGUUCACACAGUUAACACAGACUGGAGGUCACAGUCGCUUUCAUCACGUGAUUGUUCAGCCCCCUGAAAUUUAUUGAGAUAUUUCAUGCUGAGGAACAUUUCCAUUCUUCGCAUGCUUUAAUGACUUAGUCCCACAAAAGAUCAAACUAUUUGAGGUUAAUAUAAAGUUUCGUAUAUCUGAAUUGAUAUUCUUCAUCUAUUUUAGGACUGCUCGUUAUAAAGUUAUCAUUAAAA